UACGUAGGUGGCAAGCGUUGUCCGGAUUUACUGGGCGUAAAGGGAGCGUAGGUGGAUAUCUAAGUGGGAUGUGAAAUACUCGGGCUUAACCUGGGUGCUGCAUUCCAAACUGGAUAUCUAGAGUGCAGGAGAGGAAAGUAGAAUUCCUAGUGUAGCGGUGAAAUGCGUAGAGAUUAGGAAGAAUACCAGUGGCGAAGGCGACUUUCUGGACUGUAACUGACACUGAGGCUCGAAAGCGUGGGGAGCAAACAGG
rnacentral:rRNA from 1 species